rnacentral:rRNA from 1 species
CCUACGGGUGGCAGCAGUGAGGAAUAUUGGUCAAUGGACGAGAGUCUGAACCAGCCAAGUAGCGUGAAGGAUGACUGCCCUAUGGGUUGUAAACUUCUUUUAUAUGGGAAUAAAACGUUCCACGUGUGGGAUUUUGUAUGUACCAUAUGAAUAAGGAUCGGCUAACUCCGUGCCAGCAGCCGCGGUAAUACGGAGGAUCCGAGCGUUAUCCGGAUUUAUUGGGUUUAAAGGGAGCGUAGGUGGAUUGUUAAGUCAGUUGUGAAAGUUUGCGGCUCAACUGUAAAAUUGCAGUUGAAACUGGCAGUCUUGAGUACAGUAGAGGUGGGCGGAAUUCGUGGUGUAGCGGUGAAAUGCUUAGAUAUCACGAAGAACUCCGAUUGCGAAGGCAGUUCACUGGACUGCAACUGACACUGAGGCUCGAAAGUGUGGGUAUCAAACAGGAUUAGAUACCCCAGUAGUC